rnacentral:rRNA from 1 species
UGACGGUACCCAAAGAAUAAGCACCGGCUAACUACGUGCCAGCAGCCGCGGUAAUACGUAGGGUGCAAGCGUUAAUCGGAAUUACUGGGCGUAAAGGGUGCGCAGGCGGUUAGAUAAGUCAGCGGUGAAAUCCCCGGGCUCAACCUGGGAAUGGCCGAUGAGACUGUCUAGCUAGAGUGAAUCAGAGGGGGGUCGAAUUCCACGUGUAGCAGUGAAAUGCGUAGAGAUGUGGAGGAACACCGAUGGCGAAGGCAGCCCCCUGGGAUAGCACUGACGCUCAAGCACGAAAGCGUGGGGAGCAAACAGGAUUAGAUACCCUGGUAGUCCACGCCCUAAACGAUGUCAACUAGUUGUUAGGAUCACUAGAUCUUAGUAACGCAGCUAACGCGCGAAGUUGACCGCCUGGGGAGUACGGUCGCAAGAUUAAACUCAAAGGAAUUGACGG